UACGUAGGGAGCAAGCGUUGUCCGGAAUUAUUGGGCGUAAAGGGCUCGUAGGCGGUCUGUCACGUCGGGAGUGAAAACUCAGGGCUUAACCCUGAGCCUGCUUCCGAUACGGGCAGACUAGAGGUAUGCAGGGGAGAACGGAAUUCCUGGUGUAGCGGUGAAAUGCGCAGAUAUCAGGAGGAACACCGGUGGCGAAGGCGGUUCUCUGGGCAUUACCUGACGCUGAGGAGCGAAAGUGUGGGGAGCGAACAGG
rnacentral:rRNA from 1 species